rnacentral:lncRNA from 1 species
AUGAAAAAACUUAUUUAAUUUUUUCUUUUUUACAAUUCCUAUUUUAUUCUCAUUAGCUGUAAUGCUACAAGUGGUAUUUAGAGCCUAGCUUUUCGGGCGCCGUGCUGAUAGUGAGCUUCUCUCCUUACAGUCAAGUGAAUUUCACUCCUUGACUAACUCCUGACAAUAGUUGCAGAAUCAAUGACACCAAUUUUUCCACAAACAAGUAGGGGUAUGUCUUUUUCUGCAGCUCAUCCUAGCAGUAAUACAACUACCAUACCCAUUUCUUCGCAUCUUGCUUCAUUAUCUUAUAACACUAGUUCAUCCCUAUAUCCAGUGGCUCCUUUCACUUACCCCUCCCCACAAUGACAACCAAUUUUUCGUUUGUACCUAUUGCUUUUCUACGCUAUGUUUCCAGUAUAGGCUUACCCACUUAUGUCGUGCAGAGUAACUCGACCACUGCACAGAUACCCGUGAGCCACACCUUUUUACCUCCUCUUGCUUACCAAGCCAUUAUGAUAAGUUCUUUUACACAACCUACUAUUCAGCCCAUUAUGGAGAACAACAUCCAAUCAAACUCCCUAACACUAGUCAAUACUUUGGGCUCAUUCAGAGGCCCAAAAGACUAAUUAAUAUUUUCAGAGUUUGAUUGUAAUAACCCUAGAGGAUGGAUCUGACGAUGUGAGAAAUACUUUAAAUUAUACCAAGUGACUUCAAGUGAAAAGAUGGGUUAUGUGGCUAUACACAUUAAUGAGAAAAUGAAUACUUGGUUCGAUGCAGGGGGAGGUACAGUCGUGGGUACGGGUUCGGGCGAACCCAGUAAUUUUUUUUGAAAUAUUGUAUUUGUAUUGAAAACUUUACCAUAUAUAUAUAAAUAUAGUAUGCUGAACCCAGUAACAAAUGAGAUAUAGGUUCAAUGGUAAGGGUUUUGGGUACGUGGGAAAAAGAUGGUGACUCGAUUCCUCUUUAAAGUAGUAUGUUAUUUUAUUUUUUUAAAUAGUUUUUUCAUAAAACAACUGAACAUUUUCUUUACUUUCCUUUCAUUGUAUUUAAAAGGAGAAAGUGCACUAUUACAUAAAGCAAAAGGUAGUAGAAAAUACUUUAUUGUGCCUUGUGCGCUGUGAAAAAGGUUCUGCACUAUCACAUAAUGCAAAGAGGUAAUAGAAAGCACUUUAUUGUUCGUUGUGCGCUUCUCUUUCGGAUAAUAGUAUUUAUAAUCAAUACUACUCUUCGUUCCACUUUUUACUUUCCCCUUUCUCUC